CGCGUAGGCGGCUUGGCAAGUCAGAUGUGAAAUCCCCGAGCUUAACUUGGGAAUUGCAUCUGAAACUGUUGAGCUUGAGUCCUGGAGGGGAUAGUGGAAUUCCCAGUGUAGCGGUGAAAUGCGUAGAUAUUGGGAGGAACACCUGUGGCGAAGGCGGCUAUCUGGACAGUGACUGACGCUGAGGCGCGAAAGCGUAGGGGAGCGAACG
rnacentral:rRNA from 1 species